UGCAUUGCAAAUGAGCACUGGGUAUGAGAAUUCUACAAAAAUCUUUGUGUAGUCUCCCUCUUAGAACUAGUGAUGGGGAUUAAGGGAACGAAGAUGCAUUUUGGAACAGAGCAGAUCAAUAAAAUAUAUGUGCUCCCAAAUGCCAACAUAGCUGAGUUCCAUACAAAGAGUUGUAAGCCAGGGACCUGGAUCUCUAGCAUAUUAUGCCCUGGUAGAGAGGUCUCCUG
rnacentral:lncRNA from 1 species